rnacentral:rRNA from 1 species
AUUGAACGCUGGCGGCAUGCCUUACACAUGCAAGUCGAACGGCAGCAUGGAGAGCUUGCUCUCUGAUGGCGAGUGGCGAACGGGUGAGUAAUGCAUCGGAACGUACCGUGUAAUGGGGGAUAACGUAGCGAAAGUUACGCUAAUACCGCAUACGACCUGAGGGUGAAAGCAGGGGAUCGCAAGACCUUGCGUUAUACGAGCGGCCGAUGUCAGAUUAGCUAGUUGGUGAGGUAAAGGCUCACCAAGGCGACGAUCUGUAGCGGGUCUGAGAGGACGAUCCGCCACACUGGGACUGAGACACGGCCCAGACUCCUACGGGAGGCAGCAGUGGGGAGUUUUGGACAAUGGGGGCAACCCUGAUCCAGCCAUGCCGCGUGAGUGAAGAAGGCCUUCGGGUUGUAAAGCUCUUUCGGCCGGGAAGAAAUCGCACAGGCUAAUACUCUGUGUGGAUGACGGUACCGGCAUAAGAAGCACCGGCUAUCUACGUGCCAGCCGCCGCCGUAA